rnacentral:tRNA from 1 species
AUAGCUCAGUGGUAGAGUGCAUGCAUAGCAUGCAUGAGGACCUGGGUUUAAACCCCACCCCAGU